CCUAUCUGCCGUGGGCGCUGGAGAACUGAGGGGGGCUGCUCCUAGUACGAGAGGACCGGAGUGGACGCAUCACUGGUGUUCGGGUUGUCAUGCCAAUGGCACUGCCCGGUAGCUAAAUGCGGAAGAGAUAAGUGCUGAAAGCAUCUAAGCACGAAACUUGCCCCGAGAUGAGUUCUCCCUGACCCUUUAAGGGUCCUGAAGGAACGUUGAAGACGACGACGUUGAUAGGCCGGGUGUGUAAGCGCAGCGAUGCGUUGAGCUAACCGGUACUAAUGAACCGUGAGGCUUAACCUU
rnacentral:rRNA from 1 species